CCUACGGAUGGCAGCAGUGGGGAAUAUGGCACAAUGGGGGAAACCCUGAUGCAGCGACGCCGCGUGAGGGAAGAAGUAUUUCGGGACGUAAAGCUAUAUCAGCAGGGAAGAAAAUGACGGUACCUGACUAAGAAGCCCCGGCUAACUAAGUGCCAGAAGCCGCGGUAAUACGUAGGGGGCAAGCGUUAUCCGGAUUUACUGUGUGUAAAGGGAGCGUAGAAGGCAGCGCAAGUCUGGAGUGAAAUCCCAUGGCUUAACCAUGGAACUGCUUUGGAAAGUGUGCAGCUAGAGUGCAGGAGAGGUAAGCGGAAUUCCUAGUGUAGCGGUGAAAUGCGUAGAUAUUAGGAGGAACCCCAGUGGCGAAGGCGGCUUACUGGACUGUAACUGACGUUGAGGCUCGAAAGCGUGGGGAGCAAACAGGAUUAGAUACCCGGGUAGUC
rnacentral:rRNA from 1 species